AGUUCGCACAGUUCUUAGAAAACCUGAAACAGACGUACAAGGGAAAGAAGAAGUUGAUGCUGUUGGUUCGGGAACGGUUUGGCUGAGGAACUGCAGAAAGCCGGGAGCAUGGGUGUCCCAGGCCCACCUUCCUCAAACAGGAGGCCCAUGGCUACUUGCAGUAAAGUUACAGAGGUGGGAGGCAGAGGGUGACAUCAUUCCAGGUGUGUGCCUAGGAGUGUGCAGACAAACGGGACAUGCGAUCUGAGGAUCCGAAGCCAUACUGCUAACUAGACCCUGCAGGGAGUAUGUGCCUGGGCACCUCACACGGAAGAAGCAAGCUCUGGCUCUUCCAGACUCCCAGGGUCAGCUGGGACUUCCAGGAGAAGGGCUGGGCCAGAGUGAAGUUAGGCCUCCAACUCAGUGCAGCAGAUGCUCCAGAGCCGGAGCUGGCCGGAGCCUAGGCACUUCACAUCAGGGUAGUUACUUCCCACUGUGUUUCUCCCCUCUCCACAGCUCAGGGCUCCUGUCCCACUGCCCUGCGCCCCCAGCCCCAGCUUUCCAGCACAAAUGCCUCACCCCACUGAAGGAUAUUAAGAGGUCUUGGGCCUCUGCCACAUACCUCACCCCCAAAUACCCUUGUCAAGCCAGGGCCUGUCUUCUCUUGGGCACCAAGGUCACAGGGUAGGCUGGGGACAGCUCUCUGCUGGCCAGACCCCACCACUAGUAACUGGAUACACAACUCAGGAGUCAGGCUGCCCUCCAGCCUGUUGUGGGAGGCACAGGCAGACAGCCAGGGACCCCGUUCUGUCUUCCUCUUGCUCUGCACCUCCAUUUGUUUCCCCACUCCCUUAGUUUCCCCAUGUCUGCAUCUCUCUCAAGUCCCAGCUGCUGACAGGCCUUCCUGUAUCCCAGGCCUUGGCCCAGGGAGGAAGAGAAGGGAGAGCCUCCACCCCAGACGCACCUGUCUUCUCUCUUGUAUAUUAAGGAAAAAGUUGGCAUCAUUUUGUAACUUUUUUUCUUAUUUAUUGAACCCCAUACUGUAUUCUUUUCCUUUUUUUUUCCUUUUUUUUUAAAAAAAAGAUUGAACACAACUUCUUUUUAACUUC
rnacentral:lncRNA from 1 species